UGGGGAAUAUUGCACAAUGGGGGAAACCCUGAUGCAGCAACGCCGCGUGAGUGAAGAAGUACUUCGGUAUGUAAAGCUCUAUCAGCGGGGAAGAGAAUGACGGUACCUGACUAAGAAGCCCCGGCUAACUACGUGCCAGCAGCCGCGGUAAUACGUAGGGGGCGAGCGUUAUCCGGAUUUACUGGGUGUAAAGGGAGCGUAGACGGUUCUGCAAGUCUGAAGUGAAAGCCCGUGGCUUAACCGCGGAACGGCUUUGGAAACUGUGGAACUGGAGUGCUGGAGAGGCAAGCGGAAUUCCUAGUGUAGCGGUGAAAUGCGUAGAUAUUAGGAGGAACACCAGUGGCGAAGGCGGCUUGCUGGACAGUAACUGACGUUGAGGCUCGAAAGCGUGGGGAGCAAACAGG
rnacentral:rRNA from 1 species